GGGAGUAUAGUUCAAUGGUAGAGCCCUUUCCUCAUAAGAAAGUAGUUUCAGGUUCGAGUCCUGGUGCUCCCACCA
rnacentral:tRNA from 1 species